rnacentral:rRNA from 1 species
AGAGUUUGAUCCUGGCUCAGGACGAACGCUGGCGGCGUGCCUAACACAUGCAAGUCGAGCGAGAAGGUAGCUUUUGAUUCUUCGGAUGAUUAAGUUACUGGAGAGCGGCGGACGGGUGAGUAACGCGUGGGUAACCUGCCCUAUGGAGGGGGAUAACGCAGAGAAAUUUGCGCUAAUACCGCAUAAGCACACAGGACCACAUGGUCUAGUGUGAAAAACUCCGGUGCCAUAGGAUGGACCCGCGUAAGAUUAGCUAGUUGGUAAGGUAAUGGCUUACCAAGGCGACGAUCUUUAGCCGACCUGAGAGGGUGAUCGGCCACAUUGGGACUGAGACACGGCCCAAACUCCUACGGGAGGCAGCAGUGGGGGAUAUUGCACAAUGGGCGAAAGCCUGAUGCAGCAACGCCGCGUGAAGGAAGACGGUUUUCGGAUUGUAAACUUCUAUCAGCUGGGAAGAAAAUGACUGUACCAGACUAAGAAGCCCCGGCUAACUACGUGCCAGCAGCCGCGGUAAU